rnacentral:rRNA from 1 species
CCUACGGGGGACAGCAGUAGGGAAUAUUGCUCAAUGGGGGAAACCCUGAAGCAGCAACGCCGCGUGGGGGAUGAAGGUUUUCGGAUUGUAAACCCCUUUCGUUAGAGAAGAUAAUGACGGUAUCUAACGAAUAAGCACCGGCUAACUCCGUGCCAGCAGCCGCGGUAAUACGGAGGGUGCAAGCGUUACUCGGAAUCACUGGGCGGAAAGAGCGCGUAGGCGGUAUAGCAAGUCAGAGGUGAAAUCCUAGGGCUUAACCAUAGAACUGCAUUUGAAACUGUUAUUCUAGAGUAUGGGAGAGGUAGGUGGAAUUCUAGGUGUAGGGGUAAAAGCCGUAGAGAUCUGGAGGAAUACUCGUUGCGAAGGCGACCUGCGAGAACAUAACUGACGCUGAGGCGCGAAAGCGUGGGGAGCAAACAGGAUUAGAUACCCGUGUAGUC